rnacentral:rRNA from 1 species
GACGAACGCUGGCGGCGUGCCUAAUACAUGCAAGUCGAGCGGACUUUCAAGAAGCUUGCUUUUUGAAAGUUAGCGGCGGACGGGUGAGUAACACGUGGGCAACCUGCCUGUAAGACGGGGAUAACUCCGGGAAACCGGGGCUAAUACCGGAUAAUAUCUUUCUUCGCAUGAAGGAAGGUUGAAAGGCGGCGCAAGCUGCCGCUUGCAGAUGGGCCCGCGGCGCAUUAGCUAGUUGGUGAGGUAACGGCUCACCAAGGCGACGAGGCGUAGCCGACCUGAGAGGGUGAUCGGCACCACUGGGACUGAGACACGGCCCAGACUCCUACGGGAGGCAGCAGUAGGGAAUCUUCCGCAAUGGACGAAAGUCUGACGGAGCAACGCCGCGUGAGCGAAGAAGGUCUUCGGAUCGUAAAGCUCUGUUGUCAGGGAAGAACAAGUACCGUUCGAAUAGGGCGGUACCUUGACGGUACCUGACCAGAAAGCCACGGCUAACUACGUGCCAGCAGCCGCAGUAA